rnacentral:rRNA from 1 species
GCUCAGAACGAACGCUGGCGGCAGGCUUAACACAUGCAAGUCGAGCGCSYMGCAAKRGGAGCGGCAGACGGGUGAGUAACGCGUGGGAAUCUACCCUUGACUACGGAAUAACGCAGGGAAACUUGUGCUAAUACCGUAUGUGUCCUUCGGGAGAAAGAUUUAUCGGUCAAGGAUGAGCCCGCGUUGGAUUAGCUAGUUGGUGGGGUAAAGGCCUACCAAGGCGACGAUCCAUAGCUGGUCUGAGAGGAUGAUCAGCCACAUUGGGACUGAGACACGGCCCAAACUCCUACGGGAGGCAGCAGUGGGGAAUAUUGGACAAUGGGCGCAAGCCUGAUCCAGCCAUGCCGCGUGAGUGAUGAAGGCCCUAGGGUUGUAAAGCUCUUUCACCGGAGAAGAUAAU